rnacentral:rRNA from 1 species
UACGAAGGGGGCUAGCGUUGCUCGGAAUUACUGGGCGUAAAGGGAGCGUAGGCGGAUAGUUAAGUCAGAGGUGAAAGCCCAGGGCUCAACCUUGGAAUUGCCUUUGAUACUGGCUAUCUUGAGUAUGGGAGAGGUAAGCGGAACUCCGAGUGUAGAGGUGAAAUUCGUAGAUAUUCGGAAGAACACCAGUGGCGAAGGCGGCUUACUGGCCCAUUACUGACGCUGAGGCUCGAAAGCGUGG